rnacentral:lncRNA from 11 species
CUUUCCCAAUCACUUUAAAUAGGUGAUGUUAUAAAGUCUGCAACGCAUGACAAACUUUUAAGGUCCAGAAGAUGAGUGCCUUCUGGUUGUUCAUCACAAACCUAGCAGGUCACCUUAACCCUAUUUGCCAGGGAAUGGCACCACUAUUCCUAGACUUGAGUCCACAGUGUCCUUGAUUCAAGAAUUACCAAUGGUAGAACAUACAAAGGAG